rnacentral:rRNA from 1 species
GGAGUUAGCCGGUGCUUCUUCUGCGAGUAACGUCACAGAUGUAAGGUAUUAACUUACACCCUUUCCUCCUCGCUGAAAGUGCUUUACAACCCGAAGGCCUUCUUCACACACGCGGCAUGGCUGCAUCAGGGUUUCCCCCAUUGUGCAAUAUUCCCCACUGCUGCCUCCCGUAGGAGUCUGGGCCGUGUCUCAGUCCCAGUGUGGCUGAUCAUCCUCUCAGACCAGCUAGGGAUCGUCGCCUAGGUGAGCCUUUACCUCACCUACUAGCUAAUCCCACCUGGGCUUAUCCAUCAGCGCAAGGCCCGAAGGUCCCCUGCUUUCCCCCGUAGGGCGUAUGCGGUAUUAGCAGUCGUUUCCAACUGUUAUCCCCCACAAAUGGGCAAAUUCCCAGGCAUUACUCACCCGUCCGCCGCUCGUCAUCUUCAAAAGCAAGCUUUUAGAAAUGUUACCGCUCGACUUGCAUGUGUUAGGCCUGCCGCCAGCGUUCAAUCUGAGCCAUAAUCAAACUCUGA